rnacentral:lncRNA from 1 species
GAUGUAGCUCUAAAUAAAAUAUAGGAAAAACUUCAAAUACCACCCCUGUGGUUUCACACUUUCUCACUUUAGUACCUUGUCGUUUAAAGUGUAUCAAUUUAGUGCCCUGUAGUUUCAUUUUUAUUUUUUUUUAUUAUCGAUUCUACUAAAUUUUUUCGUUAAAUCAGUGACAAAGUUAAAACUAAAGGUUACUAAAGUGAAUAUUCGAUAAAUCUAGGUGGGGUGUCUAAAGUUUUUUUUGUAUAUAAUUUUAACGAAAUAUUAACGAAAAAACUGACGAAAAGAUAAAAAUAAAAUCACAAGAUACUAACUUGAUACACUUUAAACCACCGAAUGUUAAAGUGAGAAAGUGCGAAACUAUAUAAGUGGUAUAUGAAGUUUACCCUAAAUUUUAUAACCUAAUUAAAUCUCCUCAAAGACAUAAAAAAUAAAGGAUACUAAAAAAAUAUAAGCAAUUCUCUGCCAUACAAACCCCAACCU